rnacentral:lncRNA from 1 species
AUCGCUCCAGUGCCACUCGGAAUAGUCCGCGACUGCUUGCAGACUCGCCCAUGCAUGUGCCAACGCACGGCCACGAGCUCCAUCUUGCAGCACCCCACCCCGCGACACCCUUUGCAAAUAACGACGCUAUCUAGUCGACCUGCUGCUGGGAUGCAUGGUCGCGGUUGCACCGCUCAUCUCCGGCUUGCAAGUGCAACAACGAUAGCUGCUGAAACGCAUGGUUGCAGCAGCAAUGUCGACGGUGACGAUGUGGCCUUGCAUCGCGGUGGUAGGGAAGGGAUGCAGCUGUGCUUUGCAGGGCGACGACAAUUCGUGUGGGGUGCGGUGUUGGUUGGCUGAAGAAAAGGAUGGGGAAGACCCUCCGGGCAAGAGACGCACGUGUGUGGACGAAACGGGCGAGGCGAUAGGAGAAGGAUGGGGAGAGGCGUGGCGGACCAAGUAGGCAGUUGCCAAAGCGGCCGGGAGUCUACAUCCGAUUGUACAUGCGUUGAGAAGCUAGCUCGUCUGAUCGGACGCCGUAGACUAGGCCCGGUCCGGCCGUGCGCUUCUCCGCCGAGAUAAGAUGCAACCAAGACGACUGUACGCACCCGAUCGAUCGAUUCUUGACGGCCGGUCCUUUCGUCCGAGGAAAUCACGACGUACCAUGAACUACAU